GACGAACGCUGGCGGCGCGCCUAACACAUGCAAGUCGAACGGAGCGCACUGUGUGAAGCCCUUCGGGGUGGAACUUUGUGUUGCUUAGUGGCGAACGGGUGAGUAACACGUGAGUAACCUACCAUAGAGUGGGGGACAACAUUCGGAAACGGAUGCUAAUACCGCAUAAGACCACAGUACCGCAUGGUACAGUGGCCAAAGGAGCAAUUCGCUCUUUGAUGGACUCGCGUCUGAUUAGAUUGUUGGUGAGGUAACGGCUCACCAAGUCUGCGAUCAGUAGCCGGACUGAGAGGUUGAUCGGCCACAUUGGGACUGAGACACGGCCCAGACUCCUACGGGAGGCAGCAGUGGGGAAUAUUGCACAAUGGACGAAAGUCUGAUGCAGCGACGCCGCGUGAGGGAAGAAGGUUUUCGGAUUGUAAACCUCUGUCUUCGGGGACGAUAAUGACGGUACCCGAGGAGGAAGCCACGGCUAACUACGUGCCAGCCGCCGCAGUAACAC
rnacentral:rRNA from 1 species